ACGGAAGGCAGCAGUGGGGAAUAUUGGGCAAUGGGCGAAAGCCUGACCCAGCAACGCCGCGUGAAGGAUGACGGUCUUCGGAUUGUAAACUUCUUUAAUUGGGGAAGAACAAAAUGACCUACCCAAAGAGUAAGUCACGGCUAACUACGUGCCAGCAGCCGCGGUAAUACGUAGGUGACAAGCGUUAUCCGGAUUUACUGGGCGUAAAGGGCGUGUAGGCGGUCUUGCAAGUCAGAAGUGAAAUUCCUGAGCUCAACUCGGGCGCUGCUUCUGAAACUGCAGGACUUGAGUGCUGGAGGGGAUAGCGGAAUUCCUAGUGGAGCGGUAAAAUGCGCAGAUAUCAGGAAGAACACCGGCGGCGAAGGCGGCUAUCUGGACAGUAACUGACGCUGAGGCGCGAAAGCGUGGGGAGCAAACAGGAUUAGAUACCCUGGUA
rnacentral:rRNA from 1 species